rnacentral:rRNA from 1 species
AUUGAACGCUGGCGGCAUGCCUUACACAUGCAAGUCGAACGGCAGCGCGGACUUCGGUCUGGCGGCGAGUGGCGAACGGGUGAGUAACAUAUCGGAACGUGCCCUGGAGUGGGGGAUCACUAGUCGAAAGACUAGCUAAUAACGCCUACGCCCCGAGGGGGCGAGGGGGGGAGCGCAAGACCUCAUGCUCGGGGAGCGGCCGAUAUCUGAUUAGCUAGUUGGUGGGGUAAAGGCCUACCAAGGCGACGAUCAGUAGCUGGUCUGAGAGGACGACCAGCCACACUAGGACUGAGACACGGCCCAGACUCCUACGGGAGGCAGCAGUGGGGAAUUUUGGACAAUGGGGGCAACCCUGAUCCAGCAAUGCCGCGUGAGUGAAGAAGGCCUUCGGGUUGUAAAGCUCUUUUGUCCGGGAAGAAAUCCCAUCCCUGAAUACGGGGUGGGGAUGACGGUACUGGAAGAAUAAGCACCGGCUAACUACGUGCCAGCCGCCGCGGUAA